rnacentral:rRNA from 1 species
AUUGAACGCUGGCGGCAUGCUUUACACAUGCAAGUCGGACGGCAGCACAGAGAAGCUUGCUUCUUGGGUGGCGAGUGGCGAACGGGUGAGUAACAUAUCGGAACGUACCGAGCAGUGGGGGAUAACUAAUCGAAAGAUUAGCUAAUACCGCAUAUUUUCUGAGGAAGAAAGCAGGGGACCUUUGGGCCUUGCGCUGUUUGAGCGGCCGAUAUCUGAUUAGCUAGUUGGUGGGGUAAAGGCCUACCAAGGCGACGAUCAGUAGCGGGUCUGAGAGGAUGAUCCGCCACACUGGGACUGAGACACGGCCCAGACUCCUACGGGAGGCAGCAGUGGGGAAUUUUGGACAAUGGGCGCAAGCCUGAUCCAGCCAUGCCGCGUGUCUGAAGAAGGCCUUCGGGUUGUAAAGGACUUUUGUCAGGGAAGAAAAGGGCGGGGUUAAUACCCCUGCCUGAUGACGGUACCUGAAGAAUAAGCACCGGCUAACUACGUG